CUGGAGUGACCGGGUCCAGCGUGCGCUCGUCUUGUCGCCGGCGGCUCCACUGUCG
rnacentral:tRNA from 1 species